CUUGGCAAAUGAAGAAGUAAUUGAUGGUGUAAGUGAAAGAGGGGGGCAUCCAGUCAUCAGAAAGCCUAUGCGGCAGUGGAUGUUGAGGAUAACUGCUUAUGCUGACCGUCUUCUUGAGGAUUUAGAUGACCUAGACUGGCCUGAAAGUAUAAAGGAAAUGCAGAGGAAUUGGAUUGGUAGGUCAGAAGGAGCAGAAUUGGAUUUUGUUGUCAUAAAUGGUAACAGUCAGGAAGAAGAGAAAAGAAUAACAGUUUAUACAACAAGACCAGACACUAUUUUUGGUGCAACAUACUUAGUCCUUGCACCUGAGCAUCCCUUUCUGUCAUCACUUGUAUCAGAAGCACAAAGUAAACAUGUAGAGGAG
rnacentral:misc_RNA from 1 species